UGAAGAUGGUGAUUGUGGCUAGCUAGAGCAUGGAAAAGAGGUUAGCACAGUGAAGAAGAAGAGGAGGAGGAGGUAAGAGAAAUAGGGAAUGCCCUUUAAAACAGGGGCUUUCACGUUGGACAGCUUGGCUCGGGAAACCUCUAAGCAAAGCAACUGUAGAAACAAGGGGCACUAGAAAGACAUAUCUGCCCUUUGCUUUGUCUUGCAUUACUUCUCUCUCGGCUGCUAAACCCUGAAGAAGAUAUGAUAUUAAAAAAAAAUAGAAAAGUAGUCGGUGCAUGGAGUCCAAGCUCAAUUUUGCCUGCAAAGAAGAAUUAAAAAAAGGAGAAGAAAAAAAGAUGAGGAAGAUAAGGUUCCACUCCUUCUUCAAUGAAGAAGGUAUUAUUCAUUUGAAUUCAUUCACAUUCUCAAUAAUUUCAUUUGGCACAAAAAUUUAUCUAUUUAGUUAACAGUAUUCUAACUUGAUAUUAUCAGCUUGACCGUCGCCAUUUCCCAUCCAGAAUUCUAUAGCUAAUUCCCGAAACUCACUUGCAUAUCGGGUUUCCUUCUUUCUGAUACUCGCCGUCAGAAUAAUUACCUGCUUUAAUGUAACAAAUAAUGUUUUACUUAGAUGAUUUCUAUUUUUCUGCGUCUAUAUGGCUCCUA